rnacentral:rRNA from 1 species
AACGAACGCUGGCGGCAUGCCUAACACAUGCAAGUCGAACGAGACCUUCGGGUCUAGUGGCGCACGGGUGCGUACCGCGUGGGAACCUGCCCUUAGGUUCGGAAUAACUCCCCGAAAGGGGUGCUAAUACCGGAUAAUGUCUUCGGACCAAAGAUUUAUCGCCUGUGGAUGGGCCCGCGUUGGAUUAGCUAGUUGGUAGGGUAAAAGCCUACCAAGGCGACGAUCCAUAGCUGGUCUGAGAGGAUGAUCAGCCACACUGGGACUGAGACACGGCCCAGACUCCUACGGGAGGCAGCAGUGGGUAAUAUUAGACAAUGGGAGAAAGCCUGAUCCAGCAAUGCCGCGUGAGUGAUGAAGGCCUUAGGGUUGUAAAGCUCUUUUACCCGGGAUGAUAAUGACAGUACCGUGAGAAUAAGCUCCGGCUAACUCCGUG